GGUUCUAUGGUGUAAUAUUUAGCACUCUGGACUUUGAAUCCAGCGAUCCGUGUUCAAAUCUCGGUAGAACCU
rnacentral:tRNA from 1 species